rnacentral:piRNA from 1 species
UCGCUUUCUGUUCCUGCCUUGUCGUC